GUGAAGAACGUAGCGAAAUGCGAUAAGUAAUGCGAAUUGCAGAAUUUCCGUGAGUCAUCGAAUCUUUGAACGCACAUUGCGCCCAUUGGCAUUCCGAUGGGCAUGCCUGUUCGAGCGUCAUUAUCCUCCCUCAAACCCCUGGGUUUGGUGUUGGACUGUGUGGUGCCUGGCACCACUGGUCUCAAAGACAAUGACGGCGUCCGUGGGACCCUCGGUGCAACGAGCUUUUCGAAGCACGCGUCGAGUGGACAGUCUCUCCGGGCCGGUCACCUCUCCAAUUUUUCUCAGGUUGACCUCGGAUCAGGUAGGAAUACCCGCUGAACUUAAGCAUAUCAAUAAGCGGAGGA
rnacentral:misc_RNA from 1 species